UUCGGAGAACAUUAGCAUCAUACUAACUGGAUCCCCAAACGCUUUGCCAUUUUUAUGUUUUGUACAUUUACGACGCCGGAUUCAAACAUUUUUCCCGUUUAACCUUUCUUUGAGACAAACGUAAAUUGAGUCACGAAUUUUUACCACGGCAACGUUCACGUCGGAUCGAAAAACAACCGCUUCGAUUACUAACCUUAUCGGUUUGUUGACAAGAGCUGUUUGCGAUUUCGCGCACUUCACUGAGUAGUUCCAAAUCAAUUGAAAUUUUGCAUAUGAAAAUUCAUUUAAAGUUUGCAUAGGCGAAAAGAAGAUAAGCUGCACGUAAAAGUUCAAGCAAUGAAAGCUGUGAAUAUUCUGACAAUGGGAGCGGGAACAUUGAUAGCAGCCAAACCGAUUUUUUCUCGUCAACAAGUGGUAGCCGCAGCUGCAGUUUUCGUGACAAUUUAGAUGCGGGAGAAACAGAUGAGUCAGUCAUAAAGAUUCCUCGAGCUUUUAGAGUGCCGGAAAGUAGACUUCAAAACUUCUUAAAGACUACGCAAAGUUAAUGAGUAGUCAAUCAUCACUCCUCGAAAAGUACCAUAAGCUGAAAGUCAUAACUCCCUUAUACUAUCAAACAAAUAAGUACUAAUGUUAGCUACAAUGAAUUUUAAUGUCUAAACAUGGCUCUAAGUAUUUUCCUCUUAUCUUUAUUGUAUCACCUUGAGUCAGAGAUUUAUCAUCUCGGGUGAGGUGCUCAAAACACCUCACGCGAGUCUGAAAUAGCCUUUCUGCCCAUGGAACACACCGUAUUUUUAACAACGAGGGCAUAAAAGGACCUAUUUCAACGCCGGAAAGUAGCGUAGGGAAUCGUGCAUUUCAAGUCGUGCACAAUACAGUUGUUAGUAAGCGUGUAUUUUAAACAACGUAUAAAAUUUGCAAAACCUUAGAAAACACGUAUUAAUAGCGGGAAAAUGGCCUUAUUUCCCCUAGGGGAAAAACAGGUCAUUUUUUCUCGCUGUAAGCGGAGAA